rnacentral:lncRNA from 1 species
AGAGUUAGUACUAAUCUGCUGUCUAAUGUUAAGAUUGUAAUCUUUAUUUUUUUCCUUCUAUCUAUAGUUCCAAUGACAGGAUUCACACAGAGAGCAACUAUCGAUCCAGAACUAAAUGAAAUACAUGUCUUAUCUGGGCUCAGCAAAGACAAGGAAAAGAGAGAAGAGAAUGUCAGAAAUUCAUUCUGGAUUUAUGACAUUGUGAGGAAUAGUUGGUCUUGUGUCUAUAAGAAUGAUCAAGCUGCAAAAGAUAAUCCAAGUAAAAGUCUACAAGAGGAAGAACCAUGUCCAAGAUUUGCCCAUCAGCUUGUUUAUGAUGAAUUACAUAAGGUAUAUUAACUACUUUCACCUAUAAACUUUCUAUGGCCUUAAAUAUGCAAGAAUCUCUGAAUAUCU